rnacentral:rRNA from 1 species
UACGAAGGGUGCAAACGUUGCUCGGAAUUAUUGGGCGUAAAGCGCACGUAGGCGGUAUGAAAAGUCCCAUGUGAAAGCCCACGGCUUAACCGUGGAAGUGCAUGGGAAACUGUCGUACUUGAGUACUAAAGAGGAUCGCGGAAUUCCCGGUGUAGAGGUGAAAUUCGUAGAUAUCGGGAGGAACACCAGUGGCGAAGGCGGCGAUCUGGGUAGAUACUGACGCUGAGGUGCGAAAGCGUGGGGAGCAAACAG